rnacentral:snRNA from 1 species
AAGAUCAAGUGUAGUAUCUGUUCUUAUCAGUUUAAUAUCUGAUACGUCCCCUACCCGGGGACCAUAUAUUAAAUUGAGUUUUGGAAUAGGGAGAUGGAAUAGGGGCUUGCUCCGUCCACUCCACACAUUGACCUGGUAUUGCAGUACCUUCACGAACGGUACACCCCCC